rnacentral:tRNA from 1 species
GGAGGUGUAGCUCAGUGGUAGAGAGAGUGCUUAGCAUGCACAAGGUCCUGAGUUCAAUCCCUGGUACCUCCA